rnacentral:rRNA from 1 species
UAGGGAAUCUUCGGCAAUGGGGGGAACCCUGACCGAGCAACGCCGCGUGAGUGAAGAAGGUUUUCGGAUCGUAAAGCUCUGUUGUUAAGGAAGAACGAGUGUGAGAAUGGAAAGUUCAUGCUGUGACGGUACUUAACCAGAAAGGGACGGCUAACUACGUGCCAGCAGCCGCGGUAAUACGUAGGUCCCGAGCGUUGUCCGGAUUUAUUGUGCGUAAAGCGAGCGCAGGCGGUUAGAAAAGUCUGAAGUGAAAGGCAGUGGCUCAACCAUUGUAGGCUUUGGAAACUGUUUAACUUGAGUGCAGAAGGGGAGAGUGGAAUUCCAUGUGUAGCGGUGAAAUGCGUAGAUAUAUGGAGGAACACCGGUGGCGAAAGCGGCUCUCUGGUCUGUAACUGACGCUGAGGCUCGAAAGCGUGGGGAGCGAACAGG